CACAGACACACAGCCCUUGUCUGAGUCAUGGAUGGCAUAUCAUAGUUGAUGACUGCAUGUGUUGGAAUUAUCUGUUGGUUCUUUUGCUGAGAAGUACAGGUAGGUUUGAUUCUCUAUCUUGAUGAUCAACAGAAGAAGAAAAGAGGAAUGUGUGGGUGAGUGUAAGGUUAUAGAAACACACAGAGGCACCUCAACAAAGGAUCUCUAUCUAAGAACAUCUGCAAGAGGGAUCCUUCUUCUAGACCACAUCUGGUGUGGCCUGUGGAACCAUGUGAACAGAGAUUUAUAUGCUCUCUGUGUAGAAUUCAUCUAUGACAGUACUGAGAAGAGACUCACCUACAGAAAGGCAGUAGACUAGCAUGGUUUUAGAAGGAUAAAAUGCCAGG